CACAUGCAAGUCGAGGGGCAGCAUGGGGGAGUUUCGGCUUCCCUGAUGGCGACCGGCGGAUGGGUGAGUAACGCGUAUCCAACCUGCCCCGGACUCGGGAACAGCCCCUGGAAACGGGGAUUAACGCCCGAUGGCGCGCGGUGUCCGCAUGGUCACCUCGCUAAAUGCAACGGUCCGGGAUGGGGAUGCGUCCGAUUAGGCAGCAGGCGGGGUAACGGCCCACCAAGUCGACGAUGGCUAGGGGAUCUGAGAGGACGGUCCCCCACACUGGUACUGAGACACGGACCAGACUCCUACGGGAGGCAGCAGUAAGGGAUAUUGGUCAAUGGGGGGAACCCUGAACCAGCCAUGCCGCGUGAGGGAAUAAGGCCCUACGGGUCGUAAACCUCUUUUGCCGGGGGAUAAGGACAUCCACGUGUGGGUGUUUGAAGGUACCCGGAGAAUAAGCAUCGGCUAACUCCGUGCCAGCAGCCGCGGUAAUACGGAGGAUGCGAGCGUUAUCCGGAUUUAUUGGGUUUAAAGGGAGCGCAGGCGGGCUUUUAAGCGUGACGUGAAAUGUGGAUGCUCAACAUCCGAGCUGCGUCGCGAACUGGAGGCCUUGAGUGAGUACGACGUGGACGGAAUUCGUGGUGUAGCGGUGAAAUGCUUAGAUAUCACGAAGAACCCCGAUUGCGAAGGCAGUCCACGAGUCCUUUACUGACGCUAAAGCUCGAAAGUGCGGGUAUCGAACAGGAUUAGAUACCCUGGUAGUCCGCACGGUAAACGAUGGAUGCCCGCUGUUUGCGACAUACUGUAAGCGGCCAAGAGAAAUCGUUAAGCAUCCCACCUGGGGAGUACGCCGGCAACGGUGAAACUCAAAGGAAUUGACGGGGGCCCGCACAAGCGGAGGAACAUGUGGUUUAAUUCGAUGAUACGCGAGGAACCUUACCCGGGCUUGAACUGCAGCGGAAGGAUACAGAGAUGUUGACGCCCUUCGGGGCCGCUGUGGAGGUGCUGCAUGGUUGUCGUCAGCUCGUGCCGUGAGGUGUCGGCUUAAGUGCCAUAACGAGCGCAACCCCUCUCCGUAGUUGCCAUCGGGUUAAGCCGGGCACUCUGCGGACACUGCCACCGCAAGGUGAGAGGAGGGGGGGGAUGACGUCAAAUCAGCACGGCCCUUACGUCCGGGGCGACACACGUGUUACAAUGGUGGGUACAGAGAGUCGGCCGCUGGCAAUGGCGGUCCAAUCAUCAAAGCCAUCCUCAGUUCGGAUUGGGGUCUGCAACCCGACCCCAUGAAGCUGGAUUCGCUAGUAAUCGCGCAUCAGCCAUGGCGCGGUGAAUACGUUCCCGGGCCUUGCACACACCGCCCGUCAAG
rnacentral:rRNA from 1 species